rnacentral:rRNA from 1 species
CCUACGGGAGGCAGCAGUGAGGAAUAUUGGUCAAUGGCCGAGAGGCUGAACCAGCCAAGUCGCGUGAGGGAUGACGGCCCUACGGAUUGUAAACCUCUUUUGCCGGGGAGCAAAGAGCGGGCCGCGUCCCCCCUCGUGAGUACCCUGAGAAAACGCAUCGGCUAACUCCGUGCCAGCAGCCGCGGUAAUACUGAGGAUGCGAGCGUUAGCCGGAUUUAUUGGGUUAAAAGGGUGCGUAGGCGGAAUUGAAAUUCAGUGGGAAAGUCGUGGGGUUCAACCUCUUCCCGCCGUUGAAACUGCGGUUAUUGAGUGGGUGAGAGGUACGCGGAAUGCGUGGUGUAGCGGUGAAAUGCAUAGAUAUCACGCAGAACCCCGAUUGCGAAGGCAGCGUACCGGGGCACAACUGACGCUGAUGCACGAAAGCGUGGGUAUCAAACAGGAUUAGAUACCCGAGUAGUC